GUUUUUUUUUCGGACAACCCGGAUGCCAAGCGGUCUCCGUCGGGUCCCAGCUGCUGACCACGAUCUGCCCUAAGCACUAACUAGAGCAGUGCUCAAUCAACAUCAACUGGUGUUUCCUGUGCUGCAAGGGCGAAGUUUCAUCUGCUCAGAAACCUGCCUGACGACGUUCCACCUCGAGUGCCGCCAGUUUAACCAGCCGGAGAGUCGUUACAUCUGCGAAGAGUUCGAUUCCGGCCGAAUGCCGCUGUACGACGAGAUCGUCUGGGCCAAAUAUUCCGUGUUAAUGUUCUGGCCCGUGAUUGCGAUUCCCCCGCCAGCGGUUCUGGACGUGGAAGAGCGAACGGACAUUUACGGACAAACCGAAUCUGCCUCUAUCACAAAGGCGACUUGGACAGCGUGACGGACCUGAAGCGGUCGGGCAUCAUGGAGCGGUACAACGAGGCACUGCGCGUGGCACGGUAGAUUUUCGAACGGCUGCAGGCAGAAAAAGCUCACACCCAGGAAUCGGCCCCGGACGAUUUGAGCUUUAAACUGCCGAUGUACGUGAAGAUCAAGUUCAACAAGAAUGUUGCUCCGCUGAGAAGGCGCAACGCGGCCAGAUACGAGGAGGAGGACUCGAUCUGUGAGUGAACAUCGUCGGACACGGACCCGUGCGGGCUGGAAUCGAAUUGCAUUAACCGGGCGCUGCUCGAGGAGUGCAAUCCAAAGACUUAUCCAGCUGGCGAGAGUUGCAAGAUCCAGUGCUUCAAACGAAAGCAGUACCCGGCACUGGCGGCCAAACGGAUCUGAUCGCACAGGAGGAUAUCCACCAGGGUCAGUUUGUGAUCGUCGGAGUACGUCGGAGAGGUGAUCAACAACGAAGAGUUGGCGCGGCGGAUAAAGCAAAAGCAGGACCAAAAGGUCGAAAAUUACUUCUUCCUGACGAUGAACACGGAGUUGACAACCGACUCGGGCCCAAAGGCAACAUGGCCCGGUUCAUAUACAACUUGUGCGAGCCCAACUGCGAGACGCUGCUGUGGAAGGUCGGCGGAAGCCAAUACGUGGUGCUGUUUGCCCUCAAGGCGGGCCUUCAACUUUAACUUUGAGACGUUCGGCGACUUGAAGAAGAUCUUCUAGUGUGGUGCGGGCAAGUGUUCCGAGCUGAUCGUCAGCCAAGGGAACUGGAGUGAGUAGGCCACAACGGUCUUGCGCGAUAGCUCCUCCGCCACCCACGCCUGCGGCAAAGUACCUUGCGGAUCCAUCCCGCCCAACCUCAAAGACCCUCCCAGCUACGGUUUGCGGGUUCAGAUCAGGAGAAAGAUAUUCUGAGAAAUUGCAUUAACGGAUCCAGAAUUAAUUCACAUCUUAGAAGCAAGAGUUUUGUUUUUCGGUUCAAAGAACAGAAAUCACUCAUUCAUCGCCGAGCGAAUCUUUGCCGACUGGAGCGCGCAACACGACUUGCUCAAUCGCUCCACCCAGCGACACAAAUACUUCG